rnacentral:rRNA from 1 species
CUAUAAUGGAGAGUUUGAUCCUGGCUCAGGACGAACGCUGGCGGCGUGCCUAAUACAUGCAAGUCGAGCGGAAGUUGAAGAGCUUGCUCUUCAACUUUAGCGGCGGACGGGUGAGUAACACGUGGGCAACCUGCCCUGCAGAUCGGGAUAACUCCGGGAAACCGGUGCUAAUACCGAAUAGUUUUGGGUCCCUCCUGGGACCCAACGGAAAGACGGUUUCGGCUGUCACUGCAGGAUGGGCCCGCGGCGCAUUAGCUA